GAAAGCCUCAUUAAAGCCCUAAUCCAAUGAGACAACUUUUAAAUCCCAGCACUGGAUAAUGCAUGUAGAACAUAGAGAAUAAAGAUACCAAGCACAUCUCCCUGUACGUUGGAUCUAAUUAAAGCUGCACAAUAAGGCAAGAAGAAAAAAGAAAAAGGAAUCAACAGCAUGCUCGCAUUUAAGGAAGCGAGAAGCUCACGCGUGUUGUAGCUGCAGGGAGGGGGGGAAUCAUUCAAGACAUCACUUCACACAUCGGGGAGACAGCAGAGCUGCAGACGGCCCGUCAAUGCUCUGCAGCGGAGGACAACAAGACCAACAAAAGCUCUGCGCGCACGGACACACAACGGUUCGCGUUGUCCUUCUUCCACCCUCUCUUGGUCCAUCCAACCGCCUUUGCUGCGUCGCCAAGAUCUUUGUGCACAACAUGGAACCAGAAGCCAAACAUUACGAUGCGCACACGGCGCCUCACUCACUUUCGUGCUUGGAAGUUCCCCAUGUGUGCCGCGGGACUCCGGGGCUCUUGAUGAUCGCUCUGCCGGCGGAUUUCAGGGCAUCCAUCCCGAGGUGCGUCCGAUCUCCGGCAGAUGCUGAGAGCCAGCUGAUGGGCGAGCACGUGCACCUCCGGCACCGUGUCUAAAGUUAAGGGCGUGUCCCGCGGAGCUCGAAAUGAUCUGUGUACUGUUGCUGUUUACUACUACAA